GAUAGGCUAAUUAAGGGCGUAUGGGGAAUGCCUAGGCUCUCAGAGGCGAAGAAGGACGUGAUAAGCUGCGAAAAGUUACGGGGAAUGGCACACACAUUUUGAUCCGUAAAUAUCCGAAUGGGGCAACCUGAUUAUUUGAAGAAUAAUCAUCCAUCUKGUAUGGAAGCAAACCCGGGGAACUGAAACAUCUAAGUACCCGGAGGAAGAGAAAACAAUAGUGAUUCCGCUAGUAGUGGCGAGCGAACGCGGAAUAGCCCAAACCUAAGUUGUUACGGCAAUUUAGGGGUUGUAGGA
rnacentral:rRNA from 1 species